UUGAUUACGUCCCUGCCCUUUGUACACACCGCCCGUCGCUGCCCGGGAAUGAGCCAUUUCGAGAAUUUGGGGACCGUUGAUUAAACAUUUAUUUGUUUUUUUGAUGGAAACCAAUUUAAUCGCAGUGGCUUGAACCGGGCAAAAGUCGUAACAAGGUAGCUGUAGGUGAACCUGCUGCUGGAUCAUUAC
rnacentral:rRNA from 1 species